rnacentral:rRNA from 1 species
AACACAUGCAAGUCGAACUGAGAACGGAUUUUAGUUUACUAAAAUUGUCAGCUAAGUGGCGCACGGGUGAGUAAUAUAUAGUUAACCUGCCCCAAAGAAGAGAAUAAUUGAUGGAAACGUCUUGUAACUCUCUAUAUGCCUUUAUCACAUAAGUGAGCAAGGGAAACAUUUAUGGCUUUGGGAUGGGACUGUACGGUAUCAGAUAGUUGGUGAGGUAAUGGCUCACCAAGUCAAUGACGCCUAACUGGUUUGAGAGGAUGAUCAGUCACACUGGAACUGAGACACGGUCCAGACUCCAUACGGGAGGCAGCAGUGGGGAAUAUUGCACAAUGGAGGAAACUCUGAUGCAGCAACGCCGCGUGGAGGAUGACACAUUUCGGUGCGUAAACUCCUUUUAUAUAAGAAGAUAAUGACGGUAUUAUAUGAAUAAGCACCGGCUAACUCCGUGCCAGCAGCCGCGGUAAUACGGGGGGUGCAAGCGUUACUCGGAAUCACUGGGCGUAAAGAGCAUGUAGGC